GGACAAGAACAAAGAAGGGGACCAGGCAAUAGACGGACACAUAUUUCCGACGACAUUAGGUCCACUUUGGUGGACCAUGUCAUAAAUCAUGGCCUGGUAGAGAGUCCAAUCCAACCUGAGUCACAGUAGCAUCCUUAAUACGGACAUUUAGACUGGAGAACAGAACUGCCAGACGACCUCCUGAGGGUGGAAGGCAACGUCUGUUCCCCCAUGAACAGGAACUGGCCAUUGUCAAUCUAGUGUUGGCAAACAACACCAUCCGCCUACAUCAACUACGAGAGAAAAUAAACGCAAAUCACACAACAUUUCAUAAUAUCAACCGUGUCAGUAUGUCGACACUCUGCCGCAUCUUGCGUCAACACCAACUUACGACGAAGCAGCUGUACAGGGUUCCAUUUGAGAAGAACAGCGUUACACCUUCGCUAUGACUACGUGCAAAGAGUCCUGGACUUUGAUGCAGCUGCACAGCCUCAUGAGUUCAUUUUCAUUGAUGAAGCUAGAUUCAAUCUAGCUAAAACCAGGCAUCGUGGCCAAAAUGUUAUAGGACAAAGAGCCGUUGUGAAAGUCCCUGGGCAGCGCGGGGAAAAUGUCCCCUUGUGUGGCGCCAUUAGUCUGCAAGGAGUUCUCUAUCACAAUGCCACCCUAGGUCCCUACAAUACUGCACACAUAAUCAUAUUUCUGAAUGCAUUACAUAAUGCAGUUGUACAGGAUGGACUAGAGCAGCCCAGGUUUGUUGUCAUCUGGAAUAAUGUUAGUUUCCACCGGGCUGCUCUGGUCAGGGACUGGUUCACCAACCACAAUAACUUCACAGUUGUAUACUUGCCCCCUUACUCCCCAUUUCUCAAUCUGAUUGAGGAAUUAUUUUCGGCUUGGCGUUGGAAAGUGUGUGACCGCCAAUCACACACCCGCCUGCCUCUUCUGCAAGCAAUGGAAGAGGCAUACGGAGACAUUGAGGUGGGGUCAGUCCAGGGUUGGAUACGGCAUGCAAGGAGAUAUUUUCCCUGCUGCCUGUGGAUGAGGUGAUGUGGCCAGAUCCUAACAGAAGGUGGGAUCCAUAAACCAUCCACCCCCUCCCUUACAAUACUAUUUUUUUUACCAUUGCACUGUAAUUUUACUGUAAUUAUUUUUGUUUCUGUGAAUUUACAGUUGCAUAGUGUAUUGAUUACUGUACCGUAAUUCAACUUUUCUUUGCAUUUUUUGUUGUUGUUGUAAAAACCUGCAAUGGUAAAAGAAAGUAAGCUUAAUAUAUUUUUUUCUGAAGCCUUUCUAUUUUUGUGUUCAUUGAAAUGUGAGUAGAUGUACUGUACUGGAACAAUCUUUCACAGAACCUGUAUGAGAAAAUGUAAAAGGUAUGCAACGUAUUAAAGACAGCAGUGUUUUGUAUUAAGUA